GCGCGGUUAACUCUGUGCCAGCAGCCGCGGUAAUACAGAGGGUGCAAGCGUUAAUCGGAUUUACUGGGCGUAAAGCGCGCGUAGGCGGCUAAUUAAGUCAAAUGUGAAAUCCCCGAGCUUAACUUGGGAAUUGCAUUCGAUACUGGUUAGCUAGAGUGUGGGAGAGGAUGGUAGAAUUCCAGGUGUAGCGGUGAAAUGCGUAGAGAUCUGGAGGAAUACCGAUGGCGAAGGCAGCCAUCUGGCCUAACACUGACGCUGAGGUGCGAAAGCAUGGGGAGCAAACAGGAUUAGAUACCCUGGUAGUCCAUGCCGUAAACGAUGUCUACUAGCCGUUGGGGCCUUUGAGGCUUUAGUGGCGCAGCUAACGCGAUAAGUAGACCGCCUGGGGAGUACGGUCGCAAGACUAAAACUCAAAUGAAUUGACGGGGGCCCGCACAAGCGGUGGAGCAUGUGGUUUACUUCGAUGCAACGCGAAGAACCUUACCUGGCCUUGACAUAGUAA
rnacentral:rRNA from 1 species